ACUCUUCCCCCUCCUUUGUGGCUGUUGAGAUCUCCACCCCCAGAGACAAGAGAACUUUGGUCUUUGGAACCCAGAUUCCUCGCUGCCUGGGGAGGGCGAAAAGCUACUUCCCAAAGGCAAACAGGAUCCAUGUUGUGCUGCGGAGCCUGGAGCCAGCAAGACCUUGUUUAAUUCUGAAGGAAUGUGUGCGGUUGCCGCCCAGCGGAGCAGGCCGCGCGGCCUGACUCGGAGAGUGGAGCCUGGGCCACGGUGGCUGCCUUUGGAGGAGGCCAGGGACACACCUUCUGGGGACAGACGGUCACACAGUCUUACACUCUUCAGAUCUUGUUUCUGCGAUUGGAUUCCCCUGACCCGAGAAUACUGUCAGCCGCGGACAGCGUCUCUCCACAGGCCAGCUCCUCCCCAACAGGCCAGUGGGUCUGGGAGCCGGACGCCAGGCCCUGACCCCUCCCAGGCCCCAGCCCUACCUUCACCACCUGCCCACUGUGGCCCUGACCCCUGCAGUCGGCCUCUGGAGGAGGAAUACAGCCUUCUUCAGCCAUUCUGAGCCUCCUGCUUCCUGUAAAUUAUGAAGUAAAGCAUCGAGAACAUCCUGGACACCACCCUGGCCUGGAGGUGGGGGGAAUGCCUGUCCUUGGGAAGGUCCCGGGGCGAUGGGGGCAGGAGUCCACUCUCUCCCUGAUCUGGUUGAGCAGACCCGGGCUUCCCUUCUGGAGAUGAAGAUGAUUUCAGCCUUCAAGAGGCAGAGUGGUGAGCUGGUUUGAAUUUUUCCAAGCUGGGAAAGUGAACCUUUCUGGCAGGUGUG